UAUUCAAUUGCCAUUAAUAGAUGCCACAAUUUGUAAUGAAAUGACGACACUCGUUUCAUUAGAAUCCACUGCAUUGUGUUUUCUUGUGAAAUGUGGUGAAGGAGAUUUUGACUCUACUGUUCUUAAAUAAACAAAUUCAUCCAAUGUGCUUGUCGCUGCACAUUGUCAACGUAUAGAGGCGGCCUUAAGAUGUUAUGCAGAAGCACAGCCGUUAACUUUAAGGCUAUUCUAUCCUAUCAUCUUUAAACUUAAACGUAAGUAAUGAAACGAAGCAAGAAAUUUGGUUACUAGAUAUAGAUAUAUAACUUUUGGUCCUUUAAAAAAUUUAGUUGUGAAUAUUAAUAUAGAUCAAAAUGAUUUAAAAAUAUCGAAACAACGUUAAUAUUAAUCUCAUUCUGUUAUUACGUAACAGGAUGAACAAGACAAAAUAGUAGGAAUUGAUCUCGAUAAUCUAACUACGGAUGAUGCAGAUACACAUCUUUCGAGAUGAUACAUUAACAGUUGGAAUAGAUUGGAUGGAAAUGGAUUAGAUUUGGAUUCAACGACUCAAUUUAGAAUCUACAAU